UACAGAGGUCCCAAGCGUUGUUCGGAUUCACUGGGCGUAAAGGGUGCGUAGGUGGUCAGGUAAGUCUGAUGUGAAAGCUCUGGGCUCAACCCAGAAAUGGCAUUGGAUACUAUCUGGCUUGAGGAAUGGAGGGGGACUGGAAUACUUGGUGUAGCAGUGAAAUGCGUAGAUAUGUGGAGGAAUACCGAUGGCGAAGGCAGCCCCCUGGGAUAACACUGACGCUCAUGCACGAAAGCGUGGGGAGCAAACAGG
rnacentral:rRNA from 1 species